rnacentral:misc_RNA from 1 species
GUCAAUUUCAUAUAGAGUCCUUGGAUGCAAUUCAGUAUGAGGAAUAGAGGAAUUGAACAAACUGGGUGCUUGCCGCCAUGGCACAGGACCCGAUCCAGCUAAUUGACUCCAAUUUUUGACAGAAAGGUCUUUAAGCCUCUCGGAAAAAGGAGCAUUAUAAAAUAAAGAAGGUAAGCAUGCGCUGUUUGAUGCCAAAAGAACAUUUUCCUUGCACACGCCAUGCACUCUAUCCCUCCAGCAUCCAGUAGUGUAAAUGCUUGAAUUGAAACAAUGCAUCCACAAUGAACCCGCUUCCCACAAGA